rnacentral:ncRNA from 1 species
CAUAGGUUUGGUCCUGGCCUUCCUGUUGUCCUUUAACAAACUUACACAUGCAAGCAUCCGCAUCCCAGUGAGAAUGCCCUCCAGGUCAAUAAGACUAAAAGGAGCUGGUAUCAAGCACACACUCGUAGCUCACGACACCUUGCUUAACCACACCCCCACGGGAUACAGCAGUGAUAGAAAUUAAGCCAUGAACGAAAGUUCGACUAAGUUAUGUUAAUUAGGGUUGGUAAAUUUCGUGCCAGCCACCGCGGCCAUACGAUUAACCCGAGCUAACAGGAGUACGGCGUAAAACGUGUUUAAGCGCCACACCAAAUAGAGUUAAACUUUAAUUAAGCCGUAAAAAGCCGUAAUUACUGUGAAAAUAAAUGACGAAAGUGACUCUACAACAGCUGACACACCAUAGCUAAGACCCAAACUGGGAUUAGAUACCCCACUAUGCUUAGCCCUAAACACAAAUAGUUAUAUAAACAAAAUUAUUCGCCAGAGUACUACUAGCAAUAGCUUAAAACUCAAAGGACUUGGCGGUGCUUCAUAUCCCUCUAGAGGAGCCUGUUCUAUAAUCGAUAAACCCCGAUAAACCUCACCAGUUCUUGCUAAUACAGUCUAUAUACCGCCAUCUUCAGCAAACCCUAAAAAGGAACAAAAGUAAGCAUAAUCAUAAUACAUAAAAAAGUUAGGUCAAGGUGUAACCUAUGAAAUGGGAAGAAAUGGGCUACAUUUUCUUAAAUUAAGAAAAUUAACACACGAAAGCCAUUAUGAAAUUAAUAGCCAAAGGAGGAUUUAGUAGUAAACUAAGAAUAGAGUGCUUAGUUGAACCAGGCCAUGAAGCACGCACACACCGCCCGUCACCCUCCUCAAACAAAUAUUAAUACCCCAAAAUUUAUUUACAUACAUUAACCAUGAGAGAGGAGAUAAGUCGUAACAAGGUAAGCAUACUGGAAAGUGUGCUUGGAUGAAU